GUAUUCCUGCCAGAGGCAGUAUCAUAGUUCUAGUGAGAUUCUACUGAGACGUGAUUAUUGCUAGUUGAAAACUUUACCCAUACCCCGCCUGGUUGAUUGCAAUAUAAUCAGCUGUGGCCAAUUUUUGAUGGUCUCCUUAGAGA
rnacentral:snRNA from 1 species